CGCAGCCGCGGUAAUUCCAGCUCCAAUAGCGUAUAUUAAAGUUGUUGCAGUUAAAAAGCUCGUAGUUGAAUUUCGGGGUCAGUAGAUUGGUCGUGCCACUGGUAUGUACUGGUCUUACUGGCUCCUCCUUCCUGAUGAACCGUAAUGCCACUAAUUUGGUGUUGCGGGAAAUCAGGACUGUUACUUUGAAAAAAUUAGAGUGUUUAAAGCGGGCACGCGCUUGAAUACAUUAGCAUGGAAUAACGAAAUAGGACGUUCGAUCUUAUUUUGUUGGUUUCUAGGAUUGACGUAAUGAUUAAUAGGGAUAGUUGGGGGCAUUAGUAUUCAAUUGUCAGAGGUGAAAUUCUUGGAUUUAU
rnacentral:rRNA from 1 species